CGGCGAACGGGUGAGUAACACGUGGGCAACCUGCCCCUAGCUCUGGGACAACUCCUCGAAAGAGGGGCUAAUACCGGAUAUGACCAUCAGGUGCAUGUUUGAUGGUGGAAAGUUUUUCGGCUAGGGAUGGGCCCGCGGCCUAUCAGCUUGUUGGUGGGGUAAUGGCCCACCAAGGCGACGACGGGUAGCCGGCCUGAGAGGGCGAUCGGCCACACUGGGACUGAGACACGGCCCAG
rnacentral:rRNA from 1 species